UGUGUACUACUAUUCAUGUACUAACUGUGUACAUAAUACACACAUUGUGUUCUACUAUUCAUGUACUAACUGUGUACAUAAUACAUACAUUGUGUAAUACUGUUCAUGUACUAACUGUAUACAUGAUACACACAUUGUGUACUACUAUUUAUGUACAGUACUUACUGUGUAAAUAAUACCCACAUUGUGUACUACUAUUCAUGUUUUGUGUACAUAAUACAUACAUUGUGUACUACUGUUCAUGUACUUACUGUGUACAAAAUACACACAUUGUGUACUACUGUACUUACUGUGUAUGUAAUACACAGAUUGUGUACUACUGUACUUACUGUGUACAUAAUACACACCUUGUGUACUUCUGUACUUACUGUGUACAUAAUACACACUGUGUACUACUCAUGUGCUUACCAUGUACAUAAUACACACAUUGUGUACUACUGUACUUACUGUGUAUAUAAUACACAGAUUGUGUACUACUGUACUUACUGUGUACAUAAUACACACCUUGUGUACUUCUAUACUUACUGUGUUCAUAAUACACACCGUGUACUACUCUCCAUGUGCUUACCAUGUACAUAAUACACAGAUUGCGUAGUAGUGUACUUACUGUGUAUACUGUAGGUGGUUCUCAGAGGCUGAGAAGUGAUCCAAAAGUUUAAAGCCUUUGCUUUGUCACGAGGAUUUCCCCGAGAGGCCAUUCUCACGCCACCUCCAGCAGGGAACUGCCCUCCGUCACCAUCUGGCCGUUAGGUCCCUCCCCUUUUAUAUUCCACCAUUGAUUUGCACGCCAAUAAGAGCUGGUGAAUAUGUAUCAAUAUGUCACUUCUCUGCCUGAUAAACUAUAAUCAAUAUGUCACUUCUCUGCCUAAUAAACUAUCAUCAAUAUGUCACUUCUCUGCCUAAUAAACUAUCAUCAAUAUGUCUCUUCUCA